rnacentral:rRNA from 1 species
AUUGAACGCUGGCGGCAUGCCUUACACAUGCAAGUCGAGCGGCAGCGGGCCUUCGGGUGCCGGCGAGUGGCGAACGAGUGAGUAAUGCAUCGGAACGUGCCAUUGAGUGGGGGAUAACGUAGCGAAAGUUGCGCUAAUACCGCAUAUUCUGUGAGCAGGAAAGCAGGGGACCGCAAGGCCUUGCGCUCUUUGAGCGGCCGAUGUCAGAUUAGCUAGUUGGUGAGGUAAAGGCUUACCAAGGCGACGAUCUGUAGCGGGUCUGAGAGGAUGAUCCGCCACACUGGAACUGAGACACGGUCCAGACUCCUACGGGAGGCAGCAGUGGGGAAUUUUGGACAAUGGGGGCAACCCUGAUCCAGCCAUGCCGCGUGAGUGAAGAAGGCCU